rnacentral:rRNA from 1 species
CACGUAGGAGGCGAGCGUUGUCCGGAAUCAUUGGGCGUAAAGAGCGCGCAGGCGGCUUGGCAAGUCGGGUGUGAAAUCCCGGGGCUCAACCCCGUGACUGCAUCCGAUACUGUCAGGCUAGAGGUAGGUAGGGGAGAUCGGAAUUCCUGGUGUAGCGGUGAAAUGCGCAGAUAUCAGGAGGAACACCUAUGGCGAAGGCAGCUCGCUGGGACGGUACUGACGCUGAGGUGCGAAAGCGUGGGGAGCGAACAGG